rnacentral:siRNA from 1 species
GAGAAUCGCCGGAACAAAUCGCC